CGCGUAGGCGGCCCGCGAGGUCCGUGGGUGAAAUCGUCCGGCUUAACCGGACAACUGCCCCGGAUACCGGCGGGCUCGAGGGAGGUAGGGGCACGCGGAACUUCCGGUGGAGCGGUGAAAUGCGUUGAUAUCGGAAGGAACGCCGGUGGCGAAAGCGGCGUGCUGGCCCUUCUCUGACGCUGAGGCGCGAAAGCCAGGGGAGCGAACG
rnacentral:rRNA from 1 species